GUAUUCUAUAUUUGGAGAUUGGCUUUACGGAGGAUACGAUCUCGUCUACUAUCAGUUCUCGGCAAGAGUUACGUACAUCUAAAUGUCAAAGGCUUAAUAUCAAGUUUUGCCCAUGAACAUUUCACUAAGGAACAAGGGCAAAUUCUCACAUUUCAAUGAGUGCAGUUCGAUUCAAGUUUAAGAUCAAUGAUAAGGGGCCUCCUUUUUAUACCCGAGUCCGAACGGCGUGCCGCACUGCGACACAUCUUUGGAGAAGCUUUACAUGGUAUAGUACCUCUCAAAUGUGGCAAAAAUUAGGAAGGCAAAAACACCACUGACAGGAUUCGAACCCAGGCGUUCAGCGUCAUAUGCGGACAUGCUAACCUCUGCGCAACGGUGGCCUCCUUAUUUAUACUUUUAUGCUUUAUAUUUUAUGUUUUUACGCAAUUUAUUUCAAUGAAGUGGAAAUUUUUUAUUCAUGUCAAAAACAUCAAUUAUUUAUUAUUAAAUAGAAAAAAAGUUGCUUAAAAGAAA